rnacentral:piRNA from 1 species
GACUCAGUGAGCUUGUCGGUGGCUAGAGCC